rnacentral:rRNA from 1 species
UACGUAGGUGGCAAGCGUUAUCCGGAAUUAUUGGGCGUAAAGAGCGCGCAGGUGGUUGAUUAAGUCUGAUGUGAAAGCCCACGGCUUAACCGUGGAGGGUCAUUGGAAACUGGUCGACUUGAGUGCAGAAGAGGGAAGUGGAAUUCCAUGUGUAGCGGUGAAAUGCGUAGAGAUAUGGGGAACACCAGUGGCGAAGGCGGCUUCCUGGUCCGUAACUGACACUGAGGCGCGAAAGCGUGGGGAGCAAACAGGAUUAGAUACCCCUGUAGU